AUUGAACGCUGGCGGCAGGCCUAACACAUGCAAGUCGAACGGUAACAGGGAUCAGCUUGCUGAUUCGCUGACGAGUGGCGGACGGGUGAGUAAUGUCUGGGAAACUGCCUGAUGGAGGGGGAUAACUACUGGAAACGGUAGCUAAUACCGCAUAACGUCGCAAGACCAAAGAGGGGGACCUUCGGGCCUCUUGCCAUCGGAUGUGCCCAGAUGGGAUUAGCUAGUAGGUGGGGUAACGGCUCACCUAGGCGACGAUCCCUAGCUGGUCUGAGAGGAUGACCAGCCACACUGGAACUGAGACACGGUCCAGACUCCUACGGGAGGCAGUAGUGGGGAAUAUUGCACAAUGGGCGCAAGCCUGAUGCAGCCAUGCCGCGUGUAUGAAGAAGGCCUUCGGGUUGUAAAGUACUUUCAGCGGGGAGGAAGGGAGUAAAGUUAAUACCUUUGCUCAUUGACGUUACCCGCAGAAGAAGCACCGGCUAACUCCGUG
rnacentral:rRNA from 1 species